rnacentral:rRNA from 1 species
GAUGAACGCUGGCGGUAUGCCUAACACAUGCAAGUCGAGCGCCCGCAAGGGGAGCGGCGGACGGGUGAGUAACGCGUGGGAACGUACCCCUUUCUACGGAAUAGCCUCGGGAAACUGGGAGUAAUACCGUAUAAGCCCUACGGGGGAAAGAUUUAUCGGGAAGGGAUCGGCCCGCGUUGGAUUAGGUAGUUGGUGGGGUAAUGGCCUACCAAGCCGACGAUCCAUAGCUGGUUUGAGAGGAUGAUCAGCCACACUGGGACUGAGACACGGCCCAGACUCCUACGGGAGGCAGCAGUGGGGAAUCUUAGACAAUGGGCGCAAGCCUGAUCUAGCCAUGCCGCGUGAUCGAUGAAGGCCUUAGAGUUGUAAAGAUCUUUCAGUGGGGAAGAUAAUGACUGUACCCACAGAAGAAGCCCCGGCUAACUCCGUG